rnacentral:rRNA from 1 species
UACGAAGGUCCCAAGCGUUAUCCGGAUUUAUUGGGUUUAAAGGGUGCGUAGGCGGGCUAUUAAGUCAGUGGUGAAAGCCCCAAGCUUAACUUGGGAACUGCCAUUGAUACUGAUGGCCUUGAGUACAUUUGAGGUGGGCGGAAUGUGUCAUGUAGCGGUGAAAUGCUUAGAUAUGACACAGAACACCGAUUGCGAAGGCAGCUCACUAAACUGUAACUGACGCUGAGGCACGAAAGCGUGGGGAGCAAACAGG